GAUCCUGGCUCAGGAUGAACGCUGGCGGCGUGCCUAAUACAUGCAAGUCGAACGCACAGCGAAAGGUGCUUGCACCUUUCAAGUGAGUGGCGAACGGGUGAGUAACACGUGGAUAACCUACCUCAAGGUUGGGGAUAACAUUUGGAAACAGAUGCUAAUACCGAAUAAAACUUCGUAUCGCAUGAUACAAGGUUAAAAGGCGCUACGGCGUCACCUAGAGAUGGAUCCGCGGUGCAUUAGUUAGUUGGUGGGGUAAAGGCCUACCAAGACAAUGAUGCAUAGCCGAGUUGAGAGACUGAUCGGCCACAUUGGGACUGAGACACGGUCCAAACUCCUACGGGAGGCUGCAGUAGGGAAUCUUCCACAAUGGGCGAAAGCCUAAUGGAGCAACGCCGCGUGUGUGAUGAAGGCUUUCGGGUCGUAAAGCACUGUUGUAUGGGAAGAACAGCUAGAGUAGGGAAUGACUUUAGUUUGACGGUACCAUACCAGAAAGGGACGGCUAAAUACGUG
rnacentral:rRNA from 1 species